CUCCUCGGGAGCAUAAUCAGGCAAUCCCUGGCAGGUGUUGCACUAUGGAUAUGGGAUCCACGUAGCCACGUUGUCUCCAGGUGUCUGUCACUGCAGAGCAUUUCUGCCUCACGGCUUUUGAGGGAGUGGUUUUCAUUCUGAAACAGCAAAAAUCCUGCAGGAUGCAAAGAUGUGAUGGUCUUCUUCGGGUCUCUGAGCAGCCGUGCAUUGCUCCCACCCAGGCAGGAGAUCUUCAUGCUCAUCCUCUGUUUCAAAGGGAUUCUCAUUCUGCAAUGAUCUGAGACUGCUCCAAGUAACGACCUAAAAUGCAUGAAGCCCACAGAUACCAACAAAUGGGAGUACUUUAUAAACAAUUAACACAAGAGGGGGAAGCUCAGACCCAGCUGACCUAUGGGGCUUCAUUAUGUGAAACGGCUGGCACAAUGCAGGCCACAUUUCCCUACCCGUUGCCACAGAGGUGGGAAGUUCAACCUCACAGAUGUAGACGAAACCUUUAGAGGGUUGUCUACAUCUACCACUGAUUUUUACCUGCCCAAAGAUGAGCUGCAUGGGAAGAGACAGUUAACAAAUCAGCAGAAGCCACAGUACCUGCU